UACGUAGGGUGCGAGCGUUAAUCGGAAUUACUGGGCGUAAAGCGUGCGCAGGCGGUUUUUUAAGACAGGCGUGAAAUCCCCGGGCUUAACCUGGGAACUGCGCUUGUGACUGGAAGGCUAGAGUACGGCAGAGGGGAGUGGAAUUCCACGUGUAGCAGUGAAAUGCGUAGAGAUGUGGAGGAACACCGAUGGCGAAGGCAGCCCCCUGGGCCGAUACUGACGCUGAGGAGCGAAAGCGUGGGGAGCGAACAGG
rnacentral:rRNA from 1 species